ACAUAUACAUGCAAUUUAAGACGAUGUUGUUUUCCUCACUGUAAGAAUGAUACAUAUUCAAUAUAGACAUUUCAAAAAUACAAAAAGUAUGAAAAGGAAAAGUAGCCAUUAAUAUUUUGAUAUGUAUUCUUUCAGGUUACUUAUGUAUUUAUAUGUUCCUAUAUAAAUAAAGCUAUAUGUGAGUAUAUUUAUGCACACUCAGUUUUUCACAUUACUAAAGUUGCAGUGUGCAUACUACUUUUGUAAAACUGUAGACUGUAAUCAUUUCCCCUAUAUCCUUCAAUACUCUUCAAAAACAUUAAUGGUGUAUUGAUAUCAAUUGCUACACAUUUAGGUUUUUCCGGUCAUUUUUCUUAUAACAAAUUCCUCUACAGUAGACAACUUUGAACCUAAACCCUGUGUACAAGUCCACCAAAUUUCUUUGAAUCCAUUUCUAGAAUUUCCAUAUAUCUUGAACAAUGUUCAGUGUAAUACUCCUUUAAAUUCUUCCCAGGUAAAGAGUGGUAUUUCAUUAUUGAUUUAGGAUACGUUUCUUUAACUGUUAGUGCAGCUGAGUAUAUUUUCAGGUGGCUUUUGGUCACUGAAGUUUGCUCUCCCAUGAAUGCCUGUUUUAAUCUUUGCUCAUUAACCCCCUAUUAACUGCAGGAUGAAACAGAAAUUUCUUACCCUCACAAAUAGUACUCUCAGGGGAUAUAGGUUUAAUGGGACUUGAAGCUUAUCCAGUUUAAGCUUAUACUGUUACUAAUUUAUUUUUUUUUUUUAAUGUUACUUUCACACAUUUUAAAAGAACAUAGGAUCAUGUAAACACACUCCAUAGGGCCUUUCCCAGGCGUUGGAGGGCCCACGCACGAGGGAGGUUGGAAGUUUAAGCUUCAUUUGCAUUGAGGGCCCUUCAUAAUUUAGCUCCUCUUUCUCCACUUCACUUUGUCAUCCUGCAACCAGCAUACACUGAAAGGAUAAACGCACCCCAUUCUUCAGACACACUGUGCCUUUACGUAUCCUUCACCUUGAACCUGCCAUUUUUACUGUUACCUGCAUCCCCCUUCUCUCUUCCCACCCUGUAGACUUUACAGUCAGCCCAGGCAACAUCUCUUCUGUGAAUUCUUCCCUGACUCCCACAGUAGAUAGUCAUUCCCUCCACUGGUUAUACUUUAAAAAAUUAUGACAUGGUAUUAACCAUGUUACAUUGUAAAUUAUUGUAAAAUAUAUAACUCUUCUCCUAGACUGUAGGUAACUCCAGAGGACAGUACCUUUUUCCCCUUCUUUUUCAUAUAACAUUCAUAAAAUGAUUGAAAAUAUACUUAAUCAAAAAUAAUAAAGGAGAAAAGAGAGUACAGGACAGAACAAAAGAAAAAACUAAAUACAAUCCUAUUAUAAAAAGAUAAUCUCUGCUAAUAUUUUAUAC